rnacentral:rRNA from 1 species
CAGUUAGUUGGUGGGGUAAUGGCUUACCAAGACUAUGACACAUAACUGGUUUGAGAGGAUGAUCAGUCACACUGGAACUGAGACACGGUCCAGACUCCUACGGGAGGCAGCAGUGGGGAAUAUUGCACAAUGGACGAAAGUCUGAUGCAGCAACGCCGCGUGGAGGAUGACACAUUUCGGUGCGUAAACUCCUUUUAUAUGAGAAGAUAAUGACGGUAUUAUAUGAAUAAGCACCGGCUAACUCCGUGCCAGCAGCCGCGGUAAUACGGGGGGUGCAAGCGUUACUCGGAAUCACUGGGCGUAAAGAGCAUGUAGGCGGAUUAAUAAGUUUGAAGUGAAAUCCUAUAGCUUAACUAUAGAACUGCUUUGAAAACUGUUAAUCUAGAAUGUGGGAGAGGUAGAUGGAAUUUCUGGUGUAGGGGUAAAAUCCGUAGAGAUCAGAAGGAAUACCGAUUGCGAAGGCGAUCUACUGGAACAUUAUUGACGCUGAGAUGCGAAAGCGUGGGGAGCAAACAGGAUUAGAUACCCUGGUAGUCCACGCCCUAAACGAUGUACACUAGUUGUUGUGAGACUUGAUCUUGCAGUAAUGCAGUUAACACAUUAAGUGUACCGCCUGGGGAGUACGGUCGCAAGAUUAAAACUCAAAGGAAUAGACGGGGACCCGCACAAGCGGUGGAGCAUGUGGUUUAAUUCGACGAUACACGAAGAACCUUACCUGGACUUGACAUAGUAAGAACUUUCUAGAGAUAGAUUGGUGUCUGCUUGCAGAAACUUAUAUACAGGUGCUGCACGGCUGUCGUCAGCUCGUGUCGUGAGAUGUUGGGUUAAGUCCCGCAACGAGCGCAACCCUCGUGUUUAGUUGCUAACAGUUUGGCUGAGAACUCUAAACAGACUGCCUACGCAAGUAGGAGGAAGGUGAGGACGACGUCAAGUCAUCAUGGCCCUUACGUCCAGGGCUACACACGUGCUACAAUGGGAUAUACAAAGAGCGGCAAUACGGUGACGUGGAGCAAAUCUUAUAAAAUAUCUCCCAGUUCGGAUUGUAGUCUGCAACUCGACUACAUGAAGUUGGAAUCGCUAGUAAUCG